rnacentral:rRNA from 1 species
AGAGGGAAAGCUCCCAUUGGUAGAAAAAAACCCACAACCCCUUGGGGUUAUCCUGCGCUUGGAAGAAGAACUAGGAGAAGGAAAAAAUAA